UACGGAGGGUGCAAACGUUGCUCGGAAUUAUUGGGCGUAAAGCGCACGUAGGCGGCUCAGCAAGUCGGGUGUGAAAGCCCUCGGCUUAACCGAGGAAGUGCAUUCGAAGCUACUGGGCUUGAGUACUGGAGGGGGUCGCGGAAUUCCCGGUGUAGAGGUGAAAUUCGUAGAUAUCGGGAGGAACACCAGUGGCGAAGGCGGCGACCUGGACAGAUACUGACGCUGAGGUGCGAAAGCGUGGGGAGCAAACAGG
rnacentral:rRNA from 1 species